rnacentral:rRNA from 1 species
AGCAGCCGCGGUAAUUCCAGCUCCAAUAGCGUAUAUUAAAGUUGUUGCAGUUAAAAAGCUCGUAGUUGAACUUCAGGCCCGUCCAGACGGUCCGCCUUAAUUGGUGUGUACUGUCCUUGGGUGGGUCCUACCUUCUGGCGAAGCGGCAUGGCCUUAAUUGGUUGUGUCGGGGAACCAGGACUUUUACUGUAGAAAAAAUUAGAGUGUUCAAAGCAGGCAAAUAUGCUCGAAUACAUUAGCAUGGAAUAAUGGAAUAGGACGAUGGUUCUAUUUUGUUGGUUCUAGGACCGUUGUAAUGAUUAAUAGGGAUAGUUGGGGGCAUUAGUAUUCAAUUGUCAGAGGUGAGAUUCUUGGAUUUAUUGAAGACUAAACUACUGCGAAAGCAUUUGCCAAGGAUGUUUUCAUUAAUCAAGAACGAAAGUUAGGGGAUCGAAGACGAUCAGAUACCGUCGUAGUCUUAACCAUAAACUAUGCCGACUAGGAAUCGGGCGAUGUUGACAAAAUGACUCG